rnacentral:rRNA from 1 species
GGGUGUGCGAGGAGCGCCAUGGACCCACCCCGUUCCAUCUCGAACCGGGCCGUGAAACGUGGCAGCGCCGCGGGUACUGGGGCCUCAGCCCUGGGAGACAAGGUCCGUGCACCCU